rnacentral:lncRNA from 1 species
CACGAGUCCGAGCUUUUCCUUGACCCCCGCCCCCCGCCCCUUGAGCCUCAGCUCUGCCGGCGUUUCCUUCCAAAGGGAUCCGGAGGUGAUGGCGGUUUUAAAAGCCCUCGCACUGGAGGCGCCUACAAAUCUUCACGCCCGUAGGAACGGAGACGCGGACAACCUUCCUGGCAGCGGAAGCCUCCCAGCCAAACCCCUCCUCGGUCAACUUGGCUUUCUAUUUAAUUUUCUUCUUUAACCCUACAGGCCCAUCAGUCCCCGGCAGCAGGCAGGGAAGAAGCUCCUAUUCUCAGUUGUGGCCGCUCCUCUCUUCCUCUGGCUGAAAGCCCCUCCCCCUAUUCUCCCCUGAAUUUGGAAAAUCUUUCUACCUCCCGCUCGGAUUUAGGUGGGGACGAGGCUGAGAGGUGCUGGAAGAAGAGCCACGCCAAGGCACGGCCUCAGAAAUCCACCUCCCCGGGCAGCCCUUGGCGAAGGUGUCUGCUCCGAGGAAACUUUGCGGGGAGGAAGUGGCGGCCGAGCGGAGCUGGGCAGGCCGAGCGCCAGGGCUUCGAGGACCUCUGCAGCUGGGGACCUGCCUGCAGAAAGCACAAAGUUGCGCAGCGUGGAGAUAGCGCCGGGUCCCCUUGCUCCCGCGCGGGGCGCGUGGCUCUGCCCGGGACUCCAUUCAGACAGCUCUCUGGAACCGGGGCUCUGGACCGCCCUGCGAGUUCCCUCCGAGUUGAAAGGUGUCCGACUUUGCAGGGAAGACGGCGCCAAGAACGCCGAACGCGCGGUUGCCGAGGCGCAAAAGUGGAACAAGUGGAUGAUUCGGUGCAAAAAAAAAAAAAGAAAAAAGAAAGAAAGAAAGAAAGAAACUUGUGUUGAAAGGAGCUCUAGCAGCGCUACUCACAGCUCAGAAACGGAUCCAGAGCCUUCGACCAGCUCAGAAACGCAUCCAGAGCCUUCGAAGGUGAGCCCUGGCCGCGCCCACGGUCUGCGGGCCAAUAGCUACCAGUUUCAUGAAGGAAGCUGCUUUGGAUUCGGUGCGAGCCAACUCUGGAGGAUGCCCAGACCGAGAGGGAUUGUCGGUUUUGGAGCGUGA